rnacentral:rRNA from 1 species
UACAGAGACUGCAAGCGUUAUUCGGAUUUACUGGGCGUAAAGGGUGUGCAGGCGGAUGGCCAAGUGGUGUAUGAAAUCGCCCGGCUCAACCGGGCGGGAUUAUGCCAGACUGGCUGUCUAGAGACCGAGAGAGGGGCGUGGAAUUCCGGGUGUAGUGGUGAAAUGCGUAGAGAUCCGGAGGAACCCCAGAGGCGAAGGCGGCGCCUAGCUCGGUUCUGACGCUCAGACACGAAAGCAUGGGGAGCGAACGGG